rnacentral:rRNA from 1 species
AGUGAACGCUGGCGGUAGGCCUAACACAUGCAAGUCGAACGGCAGCACAGUAAGAGCUUGCUCUUACGGGUGGCGAGUGGCGGACGGGUGAGGAAUACAUCGGAAUCUACUUUUUCGUGGGGGAUAACGUAGGGAAACUUACGCUAAUACCGCAUACGACCUGCGGGUGAAAGCAGGGGAUCUUCGGACCUUGCGCGAUUGAAUGAGCCGAUGUCGGAUUAGCUAGUUGGCGGGGUAAAGGCCCACCAAGGCGACGAUCCGUAGCUGGUCUGAGAGGAUGAUCAGCCACACUGGAACUGAGACACGGUCCAGACUCCUACGGGAGGCAGCAGUGGGGAAUAUUGGUCAAUGGGCGCAAGCCUGAUCCAGCCAUACCGCGUGGGUGAAGAAGGCCUUCGGGUUGUAAAGCCCUUUUGUUGGGAAAGAAAAGCAGCAGGUUAAUACCCCGCUGUUCUGACGGUACCCAAAGAAUAAGCACCGGCUAACUUCGUG